UCCGGUUUGUCACCGGCAGUCUCCCAUGAGUCCCCGGCAUUACCCGCUGGCAACAUGGAACAGGGGUUGCGCUCGUUGCGCCACUUAAGGCAACACCUCACGGCACGAGCUGACGACAGCCGUGCAGCACCUGUGCAGGCUCCCGAAGGAGCCCCGUGUUUCCACGGCUGUCACUUACAUGUCAAGCCCAGGUAAGGUUCUUCGCGUUGCAUCGAAUUAAACCACAUGCUCCGCUGCUUGUGCGGGCCCCCGUCAAUUCCUUUGAGUUUUAGCCUUGCGGCCGUACUCCCCAGGCGGGAUGCUUAAUGCGUUAGCUUCGGCACGGACGGAGUCGACACCGCCCACACCUAGCGCCCACCGUUUACGGCGUGGACUAC
rnacentral:misc_RNA from 1 species